UAAUGGUGGUUUGGGAGGUUAUUUACCACUAAGGGGCACGGAAACGACGGUUGCUUCGUCAACGGUCUGUCUUCGACUUUUCCUUCUUUGUGUUUUUAGUUUGUUGUAAAAUGUAUGUUUAUCUUUAGUUUUGUAUUUGUGGGGGUGGUGGGGGAAACUUUUCUUGCCUCUUUACUCAUCGGAGAUGCGACUUUUUCCAUGUCGUAUCUCCGUCUGCGCGGCGGCUUAACAUCGUGGAGCUGGCGACCUCUUGUUUGGGAUUUAUCGAGCUCCAAAACCGUGGAGCCUGCGGACUUUACCAUCUCGGAGCGGGUGAUCCCUUUGCAGGGGUCAUCCUUUGGUGUUCCAUCCUGCGGGAGCUACGGACUUUAACAUCAUGAAACACGCAGUCCCUGGCUAGGGACCGAUUUUGGGUUCUCCAAGCCGCAGCAGUUUCGACCAUCCCAAUGCAGGAGGUUAGACUGCCCCAAUGCGGGAGUUCGAUCGCCGUUGCGGAUGGUUCGACUUGCCCGACCGUGGGAGGAAAGGAGGAAAGAUGAUAAGACUUUAUUGCCUUCCAUCAAAGUGGGGAAUGUGGAGGAGCCGGUGUGGUGAAUGUUUAUGUCAAAUGUUUAUGUGGUUAUGUGUCUUGUUGCUUUUUUGUUAUGACUGUAUGGCAAACCAAAUUCUUUGUAUGUUGCAAAUUACAAUUAUGAUUAUUAUGAUUAUUUGCCCACUAUAAAUUUGCCCCUUGUGAUCAGGAGAGUGGUAGUUGAUGGGCACAUGGGGAAGGGUAACAUGUGUUUAAUAUAAGAUUAGAGCAAAUGGGUACUUGGCAGUUGGUGUGGAUUUGCUGAGCCAAAGUACCAUGUUCUGAGCUGUAUAACCCAGUGAGUCAAUGAUACCCACUUGCCCAUGAAGGGAAAGUGCAAAUUCUGGAUAAACAGAAGUCUAACCCGGUCCCAGGAGCUCUGCGUCAGCAGAACUAGUUAGCUGCACUACAAGGCCACCCUUAGUCACUCCAUUUUAAACACUUUUUUGAUUGUUAGGUCUAUUGAAGAAACAACAACUUUGAUUCAUGGCAAAUUAUGAUUGUGGCUUGGAUGCCUGUCGAAGAUUUCUUAGUAGUUCCUUGUCUUGGUAAUGAACACCUCUUCUUGGGCACAGGUGCAGUGAAGACGGAGGAAUUGGUAGGGGAUAAAGUCUUUGCGGGAGGCGGGAUAGGAAGAAGUUUAGUCUAGAUAGCUGUGGGAGUCAGUAGGUUCAUAAUAGAUGUCAGUCAAUAGUCUACCUCCUGUGAUGGAGACAGUGAGAUCAAGAAAUGGAAGGGAGAUGUCGGAGAUGGUCCAAGUGCAUCUGAGUGUAGGAUGGAAAUUGGUAGUGAUUUGAGUGCAGGAUGGAUAAACUCUGGUAAACCUCUUCUUUACCUCUUGACAUUGUCUACAUCCUUCCUGUAAUGUGGUGACAAGAGCUUCACGUAAUACUACAAAUGUGGCCUAACCAAAGAUCUAUAAAGCUGCAUCAUUACUUCAUAACUCUUAUACUCAAUGACCCUAACCAAUGAAGGCAUAUGCUUUCUUUACCACUGCCCAACUAAACAAAACGUGUUCAUUCAUUUUACACCUGAAAGUUCCAAUCUUCCUCUGUAUCUAUGUACCAGAGAAGUGGAAACUAAUAUUGAGAUCAGCUUUUUUUGUGAAGUCUGCAACAUUAACUCUCCUGUCACUAUGUUGUCCAAUUUCCUGAAUAUCUACUGUAGCAUAUAUCCAGAAUCUACAGUAUAUUAGGGUGUCAGGGGUUAUGGGGAGAAGGCAGGAUAAUGGGGUUAGGAGGGAGAGGUAGAUCAGCUAUGAUUGAAUGGUGGAGUAGACUUGAUGGGCCGAAUGGCCUAAUUCUACUCCUUUCACUUACAUUAUAAUUUCCCAGGUAGACAGAAAUGCUGGAGGAACUCAGCGGGUGAGGCAGCAGCUGUGGAGAGAAGGAAUAGGCGACGUUUCGGGUCGAGACCCUUCUUCAGUUAUUUUUCUGUCUGUUUAUUCUCUGCAAAGGGGGUUGCGACCGUAGGCGCUGGUGGGCAAAGAUCUCUUUGCUGGUUAGGAAGGAUGAAGCCCAGACCCGGUACCCGGUCUUGCAGGACUCUCGCUGCUGGGGGAGGGUGCUGGCACAAUGUUGGUUGCUAUUAGUCAAAGCUAGAGUCAAUCAUAGCACCGCGCCGCCCCUCUACUCUUCACAACGCGCCUUCCGGCAACUUCCUUGCCGCUUCAUUUCGAACUUGUUCCUGGACCUGGUCUGUUUUGCAACUUGGGAGCUUGUCAGAGGGUUGAUCGGCUGUUUGCCGGCAGAGGAUCAAUUGGAUAAAGUGGAUCCUUCUUGGCAGUUAAUCUGGAAGACUCUGUGACACUGAUUUUCUGUCAGAACCUGACUGGACCACCAGGUCUUUUUCCCUGAGUUUAUCCUGUACUGUUGAUACUAGAUUGCACAGGAACUUGAAGCCUUCGAUCAUUUCCACCAGUGAUGCAAACUGGGACAUGUUCUUCACCCUGCUUCCUGAAGCUGACGACUAGCUUCUUCAUCUUGCUGAUGGAUUUGAUCACGUUUUAAACCAUAUACAGGUGCACAACCUUUUAUCCGAAAGCCUUGGGACCAGACACUUGUCGGAUUUCGGACAUUUUCGGAUUUCCGAAUGGAAGAUUUUUAGCGUAGAUUAGGUAGGUAGCGCAGGCGGCUUGACCCCCCCCCCCCAUCUAUCCUGUACUGAUCUUCCCAUUCAUCUUUUACUGAUACACCCCAUUCAUCCUGUACUGAUCCCCUCAUUCAUCCUGUAGUGAUCCCCUCCCCAUCCAGCCUGUAGUGAGCCACCCAUUCAUCCUGCACAGACCCUCCGAUCCACACUGUACUGACACCCCCCCCGAUUCACCCUGUACUGAACCACCCAUUCAUCCUGCAUUGAUUCCCCCCCCCAUGCAGCGCGCACUGAUCCUCCCAUUCAAGAAGAAUGGGGGGGAUCAGUCUGAAGAAGGGUCUCGACCCGAAACGUUGCCCAUUUCCUUCGCUCCAUGGAUGCUGCCUCAGCUGCUGAAUUUCUUCUGCAUUUUUGUCUACCCCCAUUCAUCCU